rnacentral:lncRNA from 1 species
CAAGACUGACUGUGAAAUUCCAUGCAACACCAACAAUGAUGUUGCUUACCAUCCAGCAGUUGAGGAAAAUCUAGAAAAAACAGCAAUUGUGGAAACAACUGAUGAACCAGUGGUUGAAGAGAAACCUGAUGUACCAGCGAUUAAGGAGAAACCUGAAGUACCAAAUAUUGAGCAGAAACUUGAAGAGUUAGCAGGAGAGGAAACACAUGAAGAACUAGCAGUUGAAGAGAAACUAGAAGAACCAAUUACUGAAGAGACACCUGCAGAACUAGUUAUAGAAGAGAAACCUGAAAACCCAGCAGUUGAAGAGGAGAAACCUGAAACAGACGCUCUCCAAACGAAGGUCAGGAUUAAACAUUGUCACAAAAUUUAUCCAUCCUAUUAGCUUUAUAUGUGCAAGGAACUCACAUAUGCUAAUCUAUUGAAAGACUAAGUCAAACUUUAAAUUUUUCUUGCAGAAUAUGCCAAUUGUAGACUCAAAGGACAAGAUUGACAUUGAAAGUCCAGGCAAUAUCAACAAUGAUGGUGCUGACUAUCCAGAAGUUGAAGAUAAACCUGAAGAACUAGCAGUUGAAGAAAAACAUGAAGAACAAGCAAUUGAAGAGAAGCCUGAAGAACCAGCAAUUAAGGAAAAAGCUGAUGAACCAGCAGUGCAAGAAAAACUUGAAGAACCAGCUGUGGAAAAGAAACCUGAAGAACCAGUGGCUACGGAGAAACCUGAAGAACCAGCAAUUAAGGAAAAAGCUGAUGAACCAGCAGCGCAGGAGAAACCUGAAGAACCAGCUGUGGGAAAGAAACCUGAAGAACCAGUGGCUACGGAGAAACCUAAAGAACCAGCAAUUAAGGAAAAAGCUGAUGAACCAGCAGUGCAAGAGAAACCUGAAGAACCAGCUGUGGAAAAGAUACCUGAAGAACCAGCAGUCGAGGAGAAAUUUGACGAACCAGCAGUUGGAGAGAAAUCAGAAGAACCAGUAGUUGAACAAACACCUGCAGGACCAGCAUGGGAAGAAACACCUAAAGAACUAGCAUUUGAAGAGAAACCUGAAGAACCAGCAGUUGAAGAAACACCUGAAGAACCAGCAGUUGAAGAAACACCUGAAGAACUAGCAGUUGAAAAGAACCCUGAAAAAACAGCAGUCGGAGAGAAACAUGAAAAAGUAACUCUCUUGGAAAAGGUGAGGAUCAAGCACAAUCACAAAUUUUAUCCAUCCUAUUAGUUAUGUAUGUGCAACAAUUCACAUCCGCCUGGUGGAAGAUUAAGUUAAACUUUAAUUCUUCUUGCAGAAUAUACCAAUUAUAGAGUUAAACGAGAAGAAUGACAGCUCAACUCCUUGCAAUACCAACAAUGAUGUUGCUGACUAUCUAGCAGUUGAGGAAAAACCUGAAGAACCAGCCAUUGAGAAAAAACCUGAAGAACCAAUGGCUAAGGAGAAACUUGAAGAACCGAAUGUUGAGGAUAAACCUGAAAAAUCAGUGAUAGAGGAGAAAUCUGAAAAACUAGCAACUGAAGACAUACUUGAAGAGCGAGCAGGGGAGGAAACACCUGAAGCACUAGCAGUUGAAGAGAAACCUGACGAAUCAGCAGUUGAAGAGACAGUUGAAGAACUAGCUAUUGAACAGAAAUCUAAAAAAACAGCAACUGAAAAAGAGAAACCUGAAGCCGUAACUCUCCUGGAAAAGGUGAUCAACCACUGUCACAGGGAUUCCUUGCUCUAUAUGUGCAAGGAAUUUACAUCUACUUAUCUAUUGAAAGAUUUAGUGAAACUUUAAAUUCUUCUUGCAGAAUAUGCCAGUUGUAGAUACAAAGGACGAGAUUAACAGUGAAAUUCCAUGCAAUGCCAGCAAUGAUGUUUCUGACUAUCCAGCAGUUGAGGCAAAACCUGAAGAACUAUCCGUUGAAAAAAAAUAUGAAGAACCACCAGCAGUUAUAUUGGAGAAACCUGCAGAACUAGCAGUUGAGGAGACACCUGAAAAAACACUAGUUGAAGAGAAGCCUGAAAACCCAGCAGCACGGGAAGAAACACUUGAAGAACCAGCAUUGGAAGAAACACCUGAAGAACCAACAGUUGAAGAGAAACCUGAAGAAGUAGUAGUUGAAGAAAAACUUGAUAAACCAGCAACUGAAAAAGAGAAACCUGAAAAGGUAACUUUCUGCGAAAAG